rnacentral:rRNA from 1 species
UACAGGGGGGGCAAGCGUUGUUCGGAAUUACUGGGCGUAAAGGGCUCGUAGGUGGCCAACUAAGUCAGACGUGAAAUCCCUCAGCUUAACCGGGGAACUGCGUCUGAUACUGGAUGGCUUGAGUUCGGGAGAGGGAUGCGGAAUUCCAGGUGUAGCGGUGAAAUGCGUAGAUAUCUGGAGGAACACCGGUGGCGAAGGCGGCAUCCUGGACCGAUACUGACGCUGAGGAGCGAAAGCUAGGGGAGCAAACGGG